UACGGGAGGCAGCAGUGGGGAAUAUUGCACAAUGGGCGAAAGCCUGAUGCAGCUAUGCCGCGUGUAUGAAGAAGGCCUUAGGGUUGUAAAGUACUUUCAUCGGGGAGGAAAAAACAAAACUAAUAAUUUUAUUUCUUGACGUUACCCGAAAAAGAAGCACCGGCUAACUCCGUGCCAGCAGCCGCGGUAAUACGGAGGGUGCUAGCGUUAAUCAGAAUUACUGGGCGUAAAGAGCACGUAGGUGGUUUUUUUAAGUCAGAUGUGAAAUCCCUGGGCUUUAACCUAGGAACUGCAUUUGAAACUGAAAUACUAGAGUAUCGUAGAGGGAGGUAGAAUUCUAGGUGUAGCGGUGAAAUGCGUAGAUAUCUGGAGGAAUACCUGUGGCGAAAGCGGCCUCCUAAACGAAUACUGACACUGAGGGUGCGAAAGCGGUGGGG
rnacentral:rRNA from 1 species